rnacentral:rRNA from 1 species
AGUGAACGCUGGCGGUAGGCCUAACACAUGCAAGUCGAACGGCAGCACAUUAAGAGCUUGCUCUUACGGGUGGCGAGUGGCGGACGGGUGAGGAAUACAUCGGAAUCUACUUUUUCGUGGGGGAUAACGUAGGGAAACUUACGCUAAUACCGCAUACGACCUACGGUUGAAAUCAGGGGAUCUUCGGACCUUGCGCGAUUGAAUGAGCCGCUGUCGGAUUAGCUAGUUGGCGGGGUAAAGGCCCACCAAGGCGACGAUCCGUAGCUGGUCUGAGAGGAUGAUCAGCCACACUGGAACUGAGACACGGUCCAGACUCCUACGGGAGGCAGCAGUGGGGAAUAUUGGACAAUGGGCGCAAGCCUGAUCCAGACAUACCGCGUGGGUGAAGAAGGCAUUCGGGUUGUAAAGCCCUUUUGUUGGGAAAGAAAAGCAGCAGGUUAAUACCCAGCUGUUCUGACGGUACCCAACGAAUAAGCACCGGCUAACUUCGUG